rnacentral:rRNA from 1 species
UGACCUACGGGACGCAGCAGUCGAGAAUCAUUCACAAUGGGGGAAACCCUGAUGGUGCGACGCCGCGUGCAGGAAGAAGGUCUUCGGAUUGUAAACUGUUGUCGCAGGGGAAGAAGACAGUGACGGUACCCUGUGAGAAAGUCACGGCUAACUACGUGCCAGCAGCCGCGGUAAUACGUAGGUGACAAGCGUUGUCCGGAUUUACUGGGUGUAAAGGGCGCGUAGGCGGAUGUGCAAGUCAGUCGUGAAAUACCGGGGCUCAACCCCGGGGCUGCGAUUGAAACUGCACACCUUGAGUAUCGGAG